UAUUUGCCAUUUUGUCUUCAGGACCAAAGAAUGCUAAACACGACUUGAACGGCUUCUUUGGGAACAGUGGCUACUAAGGUGGACACUGCUGUCAUCUCCUUUUAUUCCCAUGUGUCAUUGUAAGAUAGUUGUCGUCUCUACCUUAUUGUAUAUUAGAGCUUAUUUACGUAACCUUUUAGAUAUUGACUUGCCAUCUUAUCUGUGUAUUUUAUAUAUAUAUA